AGCACAAUAUGAUUUAUAUAAGUUUCAAGCAUAUUAAACAGUGAUAUAAAUGUCUUUGGGGCAUAUAUAUAUUCAUAUUCUAUAUACCAACUCUUUCUACCUUUCUAUUAUCUGUGAUAUCCAUUCAUCUCUCUCUCUCUCUCUUUCUCUCUCUAUUAUUUAUCUAAUCUGUCUGUCAUCUCUGCAUCCACCCAACAGUCUGUCUGUCUACACAUCACACACGAAGUGAAAGAACGUGCUUGGGAAUGGUCAACACCUGAAGCAGGAGAGGGGACCUCAGGAGAGGAUCCUGGAGGAGCGCGCAUGGACUUCUGCCGUAUGUGUAAAAAUUUUUCUUUCUUAAACUGGGUGAAGAGGCCUUUUUAUGCGUCUCAAACACUCUUUUAGUGAAACUAAACUGAAGUACUUACAGAGUAGUUGAGCUGGGCGAACUGCACAAGAGACCAGGCACCAACUGGCGUGAACUCUCCGGUUCUGGACCCACAUCCAGAAGUGUGUGAAGCCACCGCCCAGAGCCUGGCCAACGGGUCUGUUUAAGCUCUUGGCCUUCACAGAGAGCCAGGCACCCUGAAUACAGAGCAUUCUACCCACGGGACCAGAUGGUGACGAGGAGGAAAGGCUGUCACAGGGCCUUGCAGUGAGGUGAACAAAUAGCAGCUGUGGACACAAACAUCUUCUGGAGAAUGGCACCUUACCAAGUAAGAAUGAGGACUGCAAGAGGAGGGGGCACAAGAAGCCUGAGAGGAAGAAAAGCAGUGAGACACCUUCAGGCUUCCAGCCAGCUUGCACAUCUCCCCAUCAGUCUCACCUGCAAACCGUUGCCAUGGUGUUUCUUCCCAGCCUUGUCACCACAAGUGGGACCCUCUCUCCCAUUGCUGCAGGCUUCCUCGGCCCUCCACCAGUCUACACCAUCAACUCACAUCUCAAGGGAAAUGGUAACGCUUCUAUUUAGCACUCACAACUUAAACCACUUACUGUUCCAAAUGCUUCUCAAAUAUUCACUCAUUCCAUGUGCACACAAACUCUGCAAUGAGGAUGCCAUUAUCGUCCUCUUUUUGCAGAUAAGAGGAACCCUGAGAGCUCCACCGUUUUCCGCAGGCCCCACUGCUCGUCAGAGUCACAGAGCAAAGCUGCACACCUGAGUGCCAGACGCCAGCCCCUCUCCACCGGCACUGCAUUGAGGGUGAGCUUCUUAACAGGUGGUGCAAACAUGAAUGCUGUCUGCCUGCGGGUCCCAGCUAUACCUCAGAGCAAUCUGGGAGCCUUUAUAAAUAAGAAUGUCUCAAGUCCACACUCGAUUUGGUAGAUCAGGGAGUCUCUUCAAAAUGCCUUCAGUGCUUUGAAGGUGAAGCCAAGUUUGGGGACCCUAUCUCAUGCAGCAUAAUCCUGCCUGCACCCAAGGCAUGUGGUGAAUGUUCA
rnacentral:lncRNA from 10 species